GGGGGUGUAACUCAGUGAUAAAGCAUGUGCUUAACAUGCACAAGCCCCUGGGUUUGAUCCCGAGCAUCCCCC
rfam:Ictidomys tridecemlineatus contig043648, whole genome shotgun sequence.